rnacentral:rRNA from 1 species
CCUACGGGAGGCAGCAGUGGGGAAUAUUGGGCAAUGGGCGCAAGCCUGACCCAGCAACGCCGCGUGAAGGAAGAAGGCUUUCGGGUUGGAAACUUCUUUUCUCAGGGACGAAGAAAGUGACGGUACCUGAGGAAUAAGACACGGCUAACUACGUGCCAGCAGCCGCGGUAAUACGUAGGUGGCAAGCGUUAUCCGGAUUUACUGGGUGUAAAGGGCGUGUAGGCGGGAAAGCAAGUCAGAUGUGAAAACCAUGGGGUCAACCUGUGGCCUGCAUUUGAAACUGUUGUUCUUGAGUACUGGAGAGGCAGACGGAAUUCCUAGUGUAGCGGUGAAAUGCGUAGAUAUUAGGAGGAACACCAGUGGCGAAGGCGGUCUGCUGGACAGCAACUGACGCUGAGGCGCGAAGGCGUGGGGAGCAAACAGGAUUAGAUACCCGUGUAGUC